rnacentral:rRNA from 1 species
GACGAACGCUGGCGGCGUGCCUAAUACAUGCAAGUUGAGCGAUGAAGAUUGGUGCUUGCCCCAAUUUGAAGAGCAGCGAACGGGUGAGUAACGCGUGGGGAAUCUGCCUUUGAGCGGGGGACAACAUUUGGAAACGAAUGCUAAUACCGCAUAAUAACUUUAAACAUAAGUUUUAAGUUUGAAAGAUGCAAUUGCAUCACUCAAACAUGAUCCCGCGUUGUAUUAGCUAGUUGGUGAGGUAAAGGCUCACCAAGGCGAUGAUACAUAGCCGACCUGAGAGGGUGAGCGGCCACAUUGGGACUGAGACACGGCCCAAACUCCUACGGGAGGCAGCAGUAGGGAAUCUUCGGCAAUGGACGAAAGUCUGACCGAGCAACGCCGCGUGAGUGAAGAAGGUUUUCGGAUCGUAAAACUCUGUUGGUAGAGAAGAACGUUGGUGAGAGUGGAAAGCUCAGCAAGUGACGGUAACUACCCAGAAAGGGACGGCUAACUACGUG